rnacentral:rRNA from 1 species
GACGAACGCUGGCGGCGUGCUUAACACAUGCAAGUCGAACGGUAACGUCGGGUCUUGCUGUGCUGGAGCAGUUGCGAACGGGUGAGUAACACGUGAGUAAUCUGCCCCUGACUCUGGGAUAAGCUCAUGAAACAGCGUCUAAUACUGGAUACGAGCUACCGCGGCAUGUUGGGCAGCCGGAAGAAUCGCCGGUUGGGGAUGGGCUCGCCGCGUAUCAGCUUGUUGGUGAGGUAGUGGCUCACCAAGGCGUGGACGGGUAGCCGGCCUGAGAGGGUGACCGGACAAACUGGGCCUGAGAUACGGCACAGACUACUACGGGAGGCAGCAGUGGGGAAGAGUGCAUAAUGGGAGGAAGCAUGAUGCAGCAAAGCCGCGUGGGGGAAGACGGCCAUCGGGUUGUAAACCUAUUUUCGCUGAGACGAAGCGAUAGUGACGGUACCGGGAGAAGAAGCUCCGGCUAACUACGUG